rnacentral:rRNA from 1 species
GUUCGGAAACGGACGCUAAUACCGCAUACGUCCUACGGGAGAAAGCAGGGGACCUUCGGGCCUUGCGCUAUCAGAUGAGCCUAGGUCGGAUUAGCUAGUUGGUGGGGUAAUGGCUCACCAAGGCGACGAUCCGUAACUGGUCUGAGAGGAUGAUCAGUCACACUGGAACUGAGACACGGUCCAGACUCCUACGGGAGGCAGCAGUGGGGAAUAUUGGACAAUGGGCGAAAGCCUGAUCCAGCCAUGCCGCGUGUGUGAAGAAGGUCUUCGGAUUGUAAAGCACUUUAAGUUGGGAGGAAGGGCAGUUACCUAAUACGUGAUUGUUUUGACGUUACCGACAGAAUAAGCACCGGCUAACUCUGUGCCAGCAGCCGCGGUAAU